rnacentral:tRNA from 1 species
GCCCCGGUAGCUUAGUGGUAUAGCGUACGGCUGUUAACCGUAAGAUCAGGGGUUCGAAUCCCCUCUGGGGCG